rnacentral:rRNA from 1 species
CCUACGGGAGGCAGCAGUAGGGAAUUUUCGUCAAUGGGCGCAAGCCUGAACGAGCAAUGCCGCGUGAAGGAAGAAGUAUUUCGGUAUGUAAACUUCUAUCAGCAGGGAAGAAAAUGACGGUACCUGACUAAGAAGCCCCGGCUAACUACGUGCCAGCAGCCGCGGUAAUACGUAGGGGGCAAGCGUUAUCCGGAUUUACUGGGUGUAAAGGGAGCGUAGGCGGUAAUGCAAGUCAGAAGUGAAAGCCCGGGGCUCAACUCCGGGACUGCUUUUGAAACUGUGUUACUAGAUUGCAGGAGAGGUAAGUGGAAUUCCUAGUGUAGCGGUGAAAUGCGUAGAUAUUAGGAGGAACACCAGUGGCGAAGGCGGCUUACUGGACUGUAAAUGACGCUGAGGCUCGAAAGCGUGGGGAGCAAACAGGAUUAGAUACCCCAGUAGUC